rnacentral:rRNA from 3 species
UGGGGAAUCUUGGACAAUGGGCGCAAGCCUGAUCCAGCCAUGCCGCGUGAGUGACGAAGGCCUUAGGGUUGUAAAGCUCUUUUGCCGGGGACGAUAAUGACGGUACCCGGAGAAUAAGUCCCGGCUAACUUCGUGCCAGCAGCCGCGGUAAUACGAAGGGGACUAGCGUUGUUCGGAAUUACUGGGCGUAAAGCGCACGUAGGCGGAUUUGUAAGUCAGGGGUGAAAUCCCGGGGCUCAACCUCGGAACUGCCUUUGAUACUGCAAAUCUCGAGUCCGAUAGAGGUGGGUGGAAUUCCUAGUGUAGAGGUGAAAUUCGUAGAUAUUAGGAAGAACACCGGUGGCGAAGGCGGCCCACUGGAUCGGUACUGACGCUGAGGUGCGAAAGCGUGGGGAGCAAACAGG